CAUGUUAUUAGGUUACCGGUUUCUUCUUAUGUAAGUACCUUUAUCGCCGUUAUUACGUGAAUUUAUUCGUAAGUGCAAAUCAUUUAUGAAUGGAUCGUCGAUACGUGCGGUUGUAUGUGUAUUCCGUUCGUGUGAAACGCUUUCUACGUGGAAAUCUAAACCGGUGGACAGCUUUUACGGUGAGAUGGCAACUUUGAUAUUCAUAGACUGACUGGUAUUUAUUUAAAAUUGGGGCUUUCAAGGAAUGAAUUGACCUCUUAAACUUCGAAUUGGAUUUAAUGUUCUGGUAUCAAUAAACUAUUAUAAAAUAUGCAAAAAGCGAAAGCUGCCAGAUCUAUGUGGCAUCUGCGAAUAAUUAACAAGUAACCAGCUUAUUCCUUUGGGAUAGAUCUUGUGUUGCCAUUUAGGUUCGACGUCUUGCUAAUGGAAUGGACCUUCCAAUCGGUAGAUAAAGUUGCCUCGGUUUCGUAUCUAAAACUUUAAUUUAAAAUGGAGCUGGCUAGCACUACUUUGGAACAGAAUACACGGACGAAGGAGUGAUCAUGGAAUGUUCUAGAUGCACGGGGAUGUCCAAAGACGUGAACACGUUUUCAAAAGUGAUUCGCAAUUCAAAUUCAAAAAGAUGCGAGCUACCACCACUUUGAAACAGAAUACACGGACGUUUUUUUGGGGAUGAAGGAGAAGGCCAUGGAAUGAUACUGUUGUCCGCCAAAUCAUCGUCGAUAAGUGCGGUUGUAUGUGUGUUCCGUUCGUGUGAAACGCUUUCUACGUGGAAGUGGUGAGUUUCUUUUACAUUUUUGCUUAGGUGUAGCUUUUUUUAAUUCAUUAUUUAUGAAUGUCAGGGCCCUGCAGUUUGUAAUUGUUGAUUUGGUAUUAAAAAAUAAUUCAAUUUAAAGAGCAUUUUAUAAGUAAUCGUUGUCACUUGAACCAGGGUCCUCAGAUGCUCACCAGAAACCGCAUAGAAAAUGUCACUACAGAUUCUCUUAGGUUCAAACAGUAAUUUCGUCCUUCUAGGAGACAUGUGUCCAGAAAUUUUUCUUACGAGGAUGGCGCAUCAUCUAAAGAUGUCAGAUAACUACUUGUGUAACUUUGUGGUCAGAAUUCGUCCACAAGCAAAUGUUUAUUUUUCCUAGGUUUCUCUUAUAGUUUUGAAGUUAGGAAUACUUGCAAGUAAUUUAAUUAUCCCAGCAUAAUAAUUGAUGUAGGGCGUUUUGCAGGAGAAUCGUCGUUUCAAUGUAAACAAAUCUCAAAUGUAUUAUUCUUUAUUGCAUUAGUAAACCAGUGGACCGCUUUUACGGUGAGAUGGCAACUUUGAUAUUCAAAGACUAACCGGUAUUUUUUUAAAAUUGGGGCCUUCAAGGAAUGAAUCGACGUCUUAAACUUCGAAUUGGAUUUAAUGUUCUGGUAUCAAUAAACUAUUAUAAAAUAUGCAAAAAGCGAAAGCUGCCAGAUCUAUGUGGCAUCUGCGAAUAAUUAACAAGUAACCAGCUUAUUCCUUUGGGAUAGAUCUUGUGUUGCCAUUUAGAUUCGACGUCUUGCUAAUGGAAUGGACCUUCCAAUCGGUAGAUAAAGUUGCCUCGGUUUCGUAUCUAAAACUUUAAUUUAAAAUGGAGCUGGCUAGCACUACUUUGGAACAGAAUACACGGAGUCGAUUCCAUUAUUUCCAUUGCAGACGUUUUUUUGGGGAUGAAGGACAAGGCCAUGGAAUGAUGCUGUUGUCCACCAAAUCAUUAAGAAUGGAUCCUCGAUAAGUGCGGUAUGUUUGCUCCGUUCGUGUGAAACGCUUUUUACGUGGAAAUGGUGAGUUUCUUUUACCUUUUUGUGUAGCUUUGGGGACCGUGUAUUUUGUAUGGUUUGACUCGUUGUCGUAAUUUGUGUUGGUUUUGCGCAUGCAAAUAAAAGGGUUCUCUAAUUCUAAAUUCAUUAUUUAUGAAUGUCAGGGCCCUGCAGUUUGUAAUUGUUGAUUUGGUAUUAAAAAAUAAUUCAAUUUAAAGUAAUCGAUGCGUCACUUUAACCAGGUCCUUACUUAGAUGCUCGUCAGAAACGGCAUAGAAAAAGUCACUACAGACUCUCUUAGGUUCAAACAGUAAUUUCGUCCUUCUAGGAGACAUGUGUCCAGAAAUUUUUCUUACGAGGAUGGCGCAUCAUCUAAAGAUGUCAGAUAUAACUACUUGUGUAACUUUGUGGUCAGAAUUCGUCCACAAAGCAAAUGUUUAUUUUUCCUUGGUUUCACUUACCUAUAGUUUUGAAGCUAGGAAUACUUGCAAGUAAUUUAAUUAUCCCAGCAUAAAUCAUGUAGGGCGUUUUGCAGGAGAAUCCUCGAUUCAUUAAAGAUUAAUUUCAUUCUCGUUUUAAACUUACUUAAUUUUCUACUGUAUUCUCAUAUGCAUACAUGGCAAUCCUCGAGUGUGGGGGUGUAACUUUUGGGGUGCGCCAAAUAUUUUUGUUUCUUUGAUCGAUUUAGUUUAAUAGAUCUAUAAGGAACCUUAAAAUUAUAAAAUUACGAGGAUGGCGCAUCAUCUAAAGAUGUCAGAUAGCUACUUGUGUAUCAUUGUAGUCAGAAUUCGUCCACAAGCAAAUGUUUAUUUUUCCUUGGUUUCACUUACCUAUAGUUUUGAAGCUAGGAAUACUUGCAAG